UCGCCUGUUUAUCAAAAACAUAACUACAAGUAUUUAUUUGUAGCAUUUUCUGCUCAAUGAAUCUAUUUAAAUAGCCGCAGUACCCUGACUGUGCAAAGGUAGCAUAAUCAGUUGGCUUAUAAUUGAAGUCUGGAAUGAAUGAAUAUAUGGAUGGUUACUGUUUCAGGAGAUAUAUAUGAAGUUGCUUAAAAAGUGCAAAUUCUUUUAGAUAUACAUAAGACGAGAAGACCCUGGAAAUUUUGAGAUUUUGUUGGGGCGACAUAGUGACAAUUAACUUAUUGUAUUUGACUUGAAAUUAGUUUUUAGUCGGAAUAAAUUACUCCAGGGAUAACAGCAUAAUUUAUUAAAGUUUGUGACCUCGAUGUUGGACUAGGGUGGAUCCUUGUCUAGAAGACGGGAUCCCAGGUUCUGUUCGAACUAAAAUCCCUACGUGAUCUGAGUUCAGACCGG
rnacentral:rRNA from 1 species